rnacentral:rRNA from 1 species
GAAACAUUUCAUUGAAGCUUCGGCAGAUUUGGUCUGUUUCUAGUGGCGGACGGGUGAGUAACGCGUGGGUAACCUGCCUUAUACUGGGGGAUAACAGCCAGAAAUGGCUGCUAAUACCGCAUAAGCGCACAGGACCGCAUGGUCCAGUGUGAAAAACUCCGGUGGUAUAAGAUGGACCCGCGUUGGAUUAGCUAGUUGGCAGGGCAGCGGCCUACCAAGGCGACGAUCCAUAGCCGGCCUGAGAGGGUGAACGGCCACAUUGGGACUGAGACACGGCCCAGACUCCUACGGGAGGCAGCAGUGGGGAAUAUUGCACAAUGGGGGAAACCCUGAUGCAGCGACGCCGCGUGAAGGAAGAAGUAUCUCGGUAUGUAAACUUCUAUCAGCAGGGAAGAUAAUGACGGUACCUGACUAAGAAGCCCCGGCUAACUACGUGCCAGCAGCCGCGGUAAUACGUAGGGGGCAAGCGUUAUCCGGAUUUACUGGGUGUAAAGGGAGCGUAGACGGCGCAGCAAGUCUGAUGUGAAAGACAGGGGCUUAACCCCUGGACUGCAUUGGAAACUGUUGAGCUUGAGUGCCGGAGGGGUAAGCGGAAUUCCUAGUGUAGCGGUGAAAUGCGUAGAUAUUAGGAGGAACACCAGUGGCGAAGGCGGCUUACUGGACGGUAACUGACGUUGAGGCUCGAAAGCGUGGGGAGCAAACAGG